AGCGUUUAGAACGUUCAUUGACAGCUAGUUAAACAAGAGAAAUACAUUGUUUCUACUGUCUCCGGCUGCUUUAAAAAGGAGUAAAAGUAACUGAAAAUUGAAACUAAUUUGAAACUAAUUUUGGAUUGUUUAAAAGAGGAUACUAUUGACUAUUACAAAUAGAAACUGUUUUCCCCUAGUGGAAGCCUUUGAAACCAGUUUCUUUAUAAGAGCUGGGCUAGGGGAAUUUCCAGCUGCAAGUUAAAAACCGUGAGACUCUGGGACUGACCUUGAAUCUUUUAAGUGUUAUGGUAAAUGGAAGAGGAAAAACAGACCAGUCAACUGCUGACAAAACAUUAAGGUCUGGGAGGACUUGGCAACAAUCCAGGAGAGGUCCAUCAUCAGGCCCCCCUGCUCCUUCUGUUGCUGCCUUUGUACCAGUAUAUUUAAAACCAAGAGGAAUGUCGACAGAAGAGGCUUUAGUGGCUGCAUUAUAUAAGAUAAAUGACUCAUUGGAUCAGCUUAACAGGAAAAUGGACACGAUAAAUGCGAAAGUGGAUGUUUCAAUUACUAAAAUUAACCUAAAUACAGAAAGUAUAAAUAAUACCAAUACAGAAACCACCCAGAAAUUGAUACAGGAACCUACUUUGAUACGGCAAACUGCGGAGGAAGCCAGGGAAAAAGCUGUUGUUCCUGAAUGUAAAGUAACACAACUGGAGAGAAAGAGAGAGAGAGCCCCAGCCCUACAGAGGCAAUUUGAUGAACAUAAGUUGACGCUUGCUAUGACUGAACUUAAAGAAAAACAGACGAAUUUGAGGAUCAGAGUUCACCUUUGGUGGACAUGCCCAAGGAUUAAGACACUUUGGGAGAUGAUUCAUAACGAAAUGAAAAGGUAUUUAAAUAUACCCUUUUGAAGAAACCAGAGGCCUUUCUCCUGGGCAUGGUCGGCCAAUUGGUGUUAAAGAAGGAUAGAACUUUUUUCACGUAUGCAACAAUAGCAGCAAGAAUACUCAUUGUGAAGUACUGGAAGACGCAAGACUUAUCUAUUCGGGAAGAAUGGCAGAUGAAGUUGAUGGACUAUAUGGAAUUGGCGGAAACGACUGGCAGAAAUCCGAGACCAGGGAGAAGAGUCGGUGGAAGAAGACUGGAAAAAGUUUAAGACUAUUUAUAGAAAUACUGUAAAAAUAAUGAAUGUUAGAAAAAUGUUGGAAUGAAGUUAUAUGGCUCUAGUAGAAAUGCUAUAAGGAAUCAAGUAUAAAUAGAUUAAUAGAGUAUUAAAGGGAAAAAUAAGGUUAGAAUAUGUUAAGAUUAUUAUAGGAUAGAAAAGAGAGGAAGAUGGAAAGGAAUUGCUGAAACAAUUAACAGAAGUGGAAUACAAAAAGGGAGGUGUGAGGAGGUCAUGGAAAUAAGGGAAUGAAAGAUAAGAUAUUGAAAUUGUUUUGUGUUUUAAAUGGUUUGUGUUUUAUUUUGUUAGUCUUAUGUUUUUUUCCUCUCUUCUGCUUUGUUGUGUUUAAACGGUUGGAAAAUUAAUAA